rnacentral:misc_RNA from 1 species
GAGGUUGAAUUUGGGAGUAAGAUGUCACUUCGUAAUCAUUGUGCUACUGUAGCAUUUUGUUUGUAUGUGUGAAAAAUUGUCCAAAAAUUGAUUAAUUAGGCUCAAAAUGUUCGUCUCGCAGAGUACAACAAAACUGUGCAAUUAGUUUUUGAUUUUAUCUACAUUUAGUACUACAUACAUGCUAUGACAUUUUGAUGUGAUGGAAAUCUUCUUUUUACAUAG